rnacentral:rRNA from 1 species
UACGAAGGGGGCUAGCGUUGUUCGGAAUCACUGGGCGUAAAGGGCGCGUAGGCGGCCGAUCAAGUCGGGGGUGAAAGCCUGUGGCUCAACCACAGAAUGGCCUUCGAUACUGGUUGGCUCGAGACCGGAAGAGGUGAGUGGAACUGCGAGUGUAGAGGUGAAAUUCGUAGAUAUUCGCAAGAACACCAGUGGCGAAGGCGGCUCACUGGUCCGGUUCUGACGCUGAGGCGCGAAAGCGGGGGGAGCAAACAGG